UACGAAGGGGGCGAGCGUUGUUCGGAAUUACUGGGCGUAAAGGGCUCGUAGGCGGCCAACUAAGUCAGACGUGAAAUCCCUCGGCUUAACCGGGGAACUGCGUCUGAUACUGGAUGGCUUGAGUUUGGGAGAGGGAUGCGGAAUUCCAGGUGUAGCGGUGAAAUGCGUAGAUAUCUGGAGGAACACCGGUGGCGAAGGCGGCAUCCUGGACCAACACUGACGCUGAGUGAGCGAAAGCCAGGGGAGCAAACGGG
rnacentral:rRNA from 1 species